UUUGUGGCAAGAGGUCUGCUAGCUGGCAGUCACCUUUCAGAGACAUUCCAAAAGACCUUUCCAAGGAGCCUGGAGACGUAUCUCCUGCCUUCUCACCCCAUCCUUACUGUACACGGGGGAGCCAAGGGCUCUGAGGUUGGAAUGGGGCAGGAGAACAGGACACGGGGUAGAAGGUGCCCGACUAAAUUGUUUUUUUUUUUUUUCUUUUGUUUUUUUUUUUCCGACUAAAUUGUUAAAUAAAUUACGGUUACUCCACAUAAUGGCAUAUUAUGCUGCCAUUAACAGUAAUGUUUUCAAGGAAUAAUGACACAGCUCCGAUUCACAGCAGUGGGAGGCAAAGCGAGAGAAAAGCAGAGGAAGGAAAAAAAAAAUCCAAACAAAACACCAGGCGUUCCUCUCAGCUCUCAGGCAAUGGCCUGGCCCUAAACCCCACUUCCUUUCCCUGCAAGCUGCCCCGUCUCUCUCCUCUUGAAGGAAAACCAGCAUGGCCCUGGCCAUUCCCUGGCACCUCCUGUUUCUCUUGGAGACCCUCCUGCCUCUCUACUCCCCGGUGGCCCCCAGAGCCAGCCACGGACGUGCUCCAGGGGCAAGGAGCCUUCCCCACCAUUGCUGCUUCGUCCUCAUGGCAGGGACGGGAGCCACUGGUGCCAGACCCAGUGGUGCACGUGAGACUGGCCCAGACACUAUCAGCAGCGACGGGCCCUGGUGAAAGCCACUGGCAGCUGAGAUUGGGCCACAGAUCUCCUGUCCGGUUUGUCUACUUGCUGGGCACAUGGCCAGAGUGCGAUAGCCACCUAUGGAAGCACCUUCUGUUGCCCAGAGUGGCUCUACUCCCAGCAAACCGGUUCGUGUGCAGAGUCCCCAGGACACUUUUCAGAGUUUCACCGCUUGCAGAUGCUCUCCCUGGAACACCUGUCUCCACUUUCUUCUUGGCCCAUUCCAAACCCUGUCCAUCCUUCAAAGCUUCAGGAAGCCUCUAGGACCUCCCCGCCCCCAAUCACCUCUGUCCCUUCCAAAGUCAAUCAGGAACUGUCAUUUUUAGCGCCUGCUGCAUUGCCUUGUCGGCUCUCUUAUUAUGUGACUGCGUCCUACCUCUGCAUCGAAUUAGAGGCUCUUAGAUAGGAGUGCAGGAGCAAUCCCUCCUCAUGCUCUUCAGCAUCCUGUGCAAGGAUAGCGUGAUGCCUUUCACCCCAUUCUGUGCUCAGUCUGAAUCAGGGAGAACAGGGGAGAGGGGAAGUAGCGAGGGUGCUGAGGUGCUUUUCUCAGCGACCAGUCUGCCCUUAAACAUGGUUUGAACUAACAGGCGUGGCUCGAGGAUUUGCCACAACUGACGGAGGGAGUGAAGAAGGGAGUGAACUGUUUGGGAAGGCCCCUGGCUGUUGUCCAUCUUCAACCCACUGGGGAAAGAGAAAAUGCCAC